AACGUUCUCCUCCAAAACCUCCUUUCCUGUUUGCAUCAGAGAUCUGUGGAAACACUUCAGAUGCGGGCGGGGGGUUAAACGACACCUUUUUCGACGUUGUUGUAGUUGUUGUGCUUUAACAAUGUGUAGAGCUUUGAACAGCAUCAGUGUAAACUGACUCACGCUUUGCCACUGUGGUAACUAAAAGAAAUUGGCAGGUGAUGUCCUUAAUGUUGUGGGACAGGAAAGCUGCUUCACGGUUGCCAAUGGACUGUAACUCAUUCAUACAGAAUACUGCAUUUUGCGUAUUAAGCCUUUUAUAUCUGCUUUAGUGUCCAAAGUUAAUACAUAUGUCUGUUUUUUAGAGGGUUUUUUUUGUUUGUUUAUUUUUUGUUGUUGUUGUUUGUUUUUUGGUUUUUGGUUUUUGGGUUUGGUUUUUUUUUUUCAUUUUUCGAGACCCUGGCUGUCUUGGAACUCACUUUGUAGACCAAGCUGGCCUCAAACUCAGAAAUCUGCCUGUCUCUGUCUCCCAAGUGCUGGGAUUAAAGGCGUGCGCCACCACUGCCCGGCUGAGAGUUUUUGAAAGUUGUACUAAGGAACACAAAAUCACCAUGCUGUUUACAAAAGGGAUCUUACUGGUUUGUUUUUGUGAUCCCACCCCUCCACCUUUUUAACGCCCUCCGAUGAAGUAUUUAACAGAAUGCUAUGUAGGACAAAUGACCUGUAAAUACUUUAUAGAGUCAAGGUGGCUACUUGUAAUUUGAGGUGGAAGACAAAGCAAGCGAGGUGAUGAUUUUACAGCUGCUUCAAAUAGUUAUCAUGACGCAGAAAGCAGAGCAGAGGAGAGCAAAGCUGAUAAUUAGGGAUUUGGGAAGCUGCAAAGCCUGUGUUGGGAGAUCCUGCAGAGGCCUGGGGACAAUGUCUGAAAGUUGGAUGUGACACAGAAGUCGUCUGUACAGAUGAGUUGAUUGCAAAUGUUUUCAUUACGCAUCCUCAAGCCCUUCCCUCUUCUUGCAAACCUCUUUGAACAGCCUGUAAUGGUGUGUGGUUUUUAUCGCACACCCUUCGGCCAUCUUGCUAUCUUCCUACGUAACAGCCUUGAGUUGCCAAAGACACAUAAAAAAUGAAGUAAAUGCCCACACAUGCCCACACAUACCCGCACAAAGCUGAUGUGUAGGUUUGGAAGAUGUGUGCUGUGGGGCUCCUGUGACAUGUGAGGAUGCAGUCAUAUAGUCGGUGAUAGCUAAUCUGGUAGAGGUGAGUCACUGAGCGGGAAAGAAUGUUUGAAGCAGAAAGUUCUUGCAGGGAGGGUCAAGUCAUCCUUGCAGGGUGGAAAGGAGAAUAUUGAACUUGAAUGUAAGGUUCUAACUUCUUAAGGACUCUUGUUGGGGUAAGUAUAAGUGGAGUAAGCACCCCAUGUGCAUUUUUAGUUCCUGGGAGCAGUACAGAGGGUAGAAAGUGGACCGUCCAUGUUUGAGUGUAAAGCCUUUACCUAGACAGCUCUUCUAAACCUGACACAUGUUUAUCCAUGGAGACGCUACCCUGCCUGGAUUGCUGCUGUUGUUGCUGUUGUUGGUUUUUUUGGUUUUUGUUUUUAAUUAGGUAUUUUCUUCAUUUAUACUGUGUUGUUUUUACAUUUCUAUAUUUAAUGUGGAUGUACAAACAUACCAAGACAUGAAUGCAGAGGUCAGAGGGCAAGGAGGCAACUUGCAGGAGUCAGUUCUAUCCUUCCACCAUAUGAGUUCCCAUAGGCUUGGCUUCUCACUAGUCCAUACUCCUUCCUGUUAAAAAAAAAAAAAAAAAAGAUGUAAAACACUUUGGUUCUUGCAGAGGACCCAGGUUCAGUUCCAAUACGCACAUGGUAGUUUACAAUCACCACCAAUUCCAGUUCCAAAGGAUCCGAACGUGGAAGCAAAACACUUAUAUGCAUAAAAUAAAUCAAUCUAAAAACAAAUUUUAAAAAAGUCAUACCACAACACUCUGCACAGUGCUUUUUGUGUUUUGGGUUUUUUGUUUGUUUGUUUGUUUGUUUGUUUAUCAGACAAGGAGUUUGUUUUAGCUCACGAUUCAAGGUUCAGUCUACCGUGGCAGAAAUCUCAAGGCAUCUAGAGCUUGAAAUAGCUGGUCAUAUCAUAUCUGCAGUCAGAAGCAGAACAAUGCAUGUAUACAUUUGAACACUUUGCUGGCUUUCUCCAGUUUACACAGCCUAAGGAAUAACGCCACCCGAAGUGGACCUAUCCUUCCCACCUCCUAAGGAACUGUCACAUCAGAUCAGCCUCGUGGCGCUGCUCACCCUCCUUCACUGCUUUUGUGCCUUCCUAUCAAGGAGAAGGUAGAGUGGGAAGGGAAAAUAUUCUCCAGGCCCUGUUUUGGAGAGAAAGCUGACACCAGACUCAUCCUGUCACAAGUUGGCCAUCCCAGAAAACCUUUACGUGGGUUCAUUCUUCCUGUUCAGGAUUCAGCUUGAGCCCCGGUGUAUACCUGCCCCCCCCAGCCCCCCAUGGAGGAAGUGAUGCGAUGGCUGACACAGAGAGGCAUGUGAGAGAAAACUGGCUAAUCUCCUCAAAACGUAUGAGGCAAAAAGAAACAGAAUGCCAUCCCUUCGACUGUAGCCUCUUACACACUGCCAGAGGGAGGAGAAAGAGGACAAAAAAAAGCGAUCUAAACUCCUGUGACUGCCAAAUCGCCUUUCUUUCGGGAUGUAAAGCGUUUCCUUGACGAAAUCGAUCAUUGUUUGAUGUAGAAUGUCUCCCUGCUAUAAAACAGAAUCUGCAGAGCUGGUGGCAGGCUAAAGAUGGUCAAUCAGUACUUCAUUCAGGUUGCUGAGCACUGACGUGAGGCCCAGCCAUCUCGUUUGUGAUCUGAGAGAACAGAAGAGAGGGAGGCUUGGCUUUUGGUGCUAUAUCUUUAAUUCAAACAAGCCUCUUGUCUGGAAAUGUUUUCUUCCUUCCUUUUUUUUUUUUCCUUUUUAUUCACUUUACAUCCCACUCACUACCCCCUCCCAGUGUGCCUCCCACAGUCCCCUAUCCCCCCUUCCCUUCUCCUCUGAGCAGGUGGGGGCUCCUCUGGGAAUCCCGCCCACCCUAGCACAUCAAGUCUCUGUGAGGCUAGGUGUAUCCUCCCACUGAGGCCAGACAAGCAGCCCAGCUAGAGGAACAUACCCCAUGUACAGGGAACAGCUUUGGGGAUGGCCCCCCACUCUAGUUAUUCAGGACCCACAUGAAGAACAAGCUGUACAUCUGCUGCAUAUAUUCUGGGAAGCCUAAGUCCAGCCUGUGUAAGAGACCCAGGGGUGCAGGUUAGUUGAUUCUAUUUAUCUUCCUGUGGAGCUCCUAUCUCCUUCAGGGCCUGCAAUCCUUCCUGCUGUUCUUCCAUAAGAGUCCCCAAGUUCCAUCCACGGUUUGACUAUAGGUGUCUGUUUCUGUCUGGGUCAGCUGCUGGGUGGAACCUCUCAGAGGACAGCCAUGCUAGACUCCUGUCUGCAAGCAUAACAGAGUAUCAUUAAUAGUUUCAGAGAUUGGUGCUUGCCCAUGUGAUGAUGGGUCUCAAGUUGGGCUGGUUAUUGGUUGGUCAGUCUCUGCUUCAUCCUCUGUUCCUUGCAUUUCUUGUAGACAGAAUAAAUUUUGAGUUGAAAGUUUUGUGGGUGGGUCGGUGUCCCUAUUGCUCUACUGGGGUUCUUGCCUGGCUGCUAUAAGAGGUCGCUUCUUCAGGUUCCAUAUCCCCAAUGCUGUGAGUCACAGCUAAGGUCACUCCCAUUCAUUCUUGGGCUGCCUCCCUUAUCCCAGGCUGCUUCUUGUUUUUUAGUGCUUUGCUCUUUGCAUUUGCCAUACCUUAGCCAAUAUUUAUGCGUCUGUGUGAUGUACAUUACGAAUCUACUUAAUCUUUGCUAACGGUGGCAUGGUACUUGUAAGGCCACCUAGAAAGAAAUAGCAGAAUUAGAACUGAAAAAGUGAUCUGAGACCCACCAGGGCAAACUGGAUCAGGUUAGAGAACAUACCCACACUGAAGGUAUUCCUCAACUUUGUGCAUACAAGGUACAUAGCAAUGACGUAUAGACAUGUUUAGAAGGGCAAGAAGGCAUGGAUCGCAUGUACAGGAAGAAGGAAGUGGGGCCCCAGUGGCAAGGAUGUGGUGGAGGAACAACUCAGAGGCUUGACCGCAUGGUCCUUGGAAAAGGAGCCACCAGGAGUGGCCUCAAACAGGGCCGGGUGAGGCUUUUUCCUUCUGUCGCUUGUGCCAGCAUGCCUGCUUUUAUUUUAGUCUUCUCUAUCAUUGCCACAUGCUUCCUAGAUCAGCACUGUUCUAAGUGUUUUUAGAUAGCCAGUACUAUAAAUGACAACCUGAAAGAGAACAGGGAAUAUCAAAAAUAGUCAUUAUGCAGCACUCCAGUUUGCUCUCUCUUAUGGUGAUGAACACAUGGCCAAUAGUACCUUGGGAGGAAAGGGUUUGUUUAUUUGGCUGAUAGGUUGCAGCCCAUCAGCAAGGGAAGCCAGGAUAGGAACUCAAGACAGGAACUGAGCCAAAGCCCAUGGAGGCACACUGCUUGCUAGCUUAUUCUUCAUGGCUUGCUCGGGUACCUUUCUUAUAUAGCUGAGCCCCACAUAUUUAGGAAUGGCACCGCCCACAGUGGACUGGGCCCUACCACAUCAAUUGGCAAUCAAGAAAAUCCCCACCACAGACAUAGCCAGGAGCUAAUCUGAUGGAGGCGAUCGCUCCACCCACAGUCCGGGUGUAUGUAGGUUUAUGUCACGUGGACAAAUCCACCCAGAACACACGUUGUUCAUAUAUCGUUACCGUGGUUUGUUUUUAUUGUUAGAUUUGUAAAGUGGAAACUCAAAUUGAGAAAUACCUCAAAGGUAUUUUUACUACCUAUUUUUCCAAAAAAUAAGAGAGAGAAGACUCCAAGAACACGCAAGUUCAUUGAAAGAAGGGACUGCUCCGGUUUAUCCUUCCCAGUGCCCAGCAAAUUACCUAACACGUUGUAAAUACCAGAUAAAUACCAGAGCAGUAAGUCACCACAUAAUUUUAAGUUAAGGGCUUCCCUUUAAAAGGAAAAGAAAAAAAAA